GAAUUUUAUAUUUUAUUAAUUGUACUUUUAAUUGUAGGAUAAAUUAAUAAAAUAUUUUAUUGGGAGGAUAGUUAAAUUUAAUUAACUUAAAUAAUUAUAUAACAUAAAUUAAUGAGUUAUUAAUUAGGAGUUAGUAAAGUAAAAUUAAUUACCUUAGGGAUAACAGCGUAAUAUUUUUAGUGAGAUCAUAUUUAUAAAAGUGUUUGC
rnacentral:rRNA from 1 species